rnacentral:rRNA from 1 species
GAUGAACGCUGGCGGCGUGCCUAACACAUGCAAGUCGAACGAAGCGUCUUAAAGGAAGUUUUCGGAUGGAAUUUGGGAUGACUGAGUGGCGGACGGGUGAGUAACGCGUGGAUAACCUGCCUCAUACAGGGGGAUAACAGCUAGAAAUGGCUGCUAAUACCGCAUAAGCGCACAGUGCCGCAUGGCAGUGUGUGAAAAACUCCGGUGGUAUGAGAUGGAUCCGCGUCUGAUUAGCCAGUUGGCGGGGUAACGGCCCACCAAAGCGACGAUCAGUAGCCGGCCUGAGAGGGCGACCGGCCACAGUUGGGACUGAGACACGGCCCAA